GACGAACGCUGGCGGCGUGCCUAAUACAUGCAAGUAGAACGCUGAAGGAGGAGCUUGCUUCUCCGGAUGAGUUGCGAACGGGUGAGUAACGCGUAGGUAACCUGCCUGGUAGCGGGGGAUAACUAUUGGAAACGAUAGCUAAUACCGCAUAACAGUAGAUAUUGCAUGAUAUCUGCUUGAAAGGUGCAAUUGCAUCACUACCAGAUGGACCUGCGUUGUAUUAGCUAGUUGGUGAGGUAACGGCUCACCAAGGCGACGAUACAUAGCCGACCUGAGAGGGUGAUCGGCCACACUGGGACUGAGACACGGCCCAGACUCCUACGGGAGGCAGCAGUAGGGAAUCUUCGGCAAUGGACGGAAGUCUGACCGAGCAACGCCGCGUGAGUGAAGAAGGUUUUCGGAUCGUAAAGCUCUGUUGUAAGAGAAGAACGAGUGUGAGAGUGGAAAGUUCACACUGUGACGGUAUCUUACCAGAAAGGGACGGCUAACUACGUGCCAGCAGCCGCGGUAAUACGUAGGUCCCGAGCGUUGUCCGGAUUUAUUGGGCGUAAAGCGAGCGCAGGCGGUUAGAUAAGUCUGAAGUUAAAGGCUGUGGCUUAACCAUAGUACGCUUUGGAAACUGUUUAACUUGAGUGCAAGAGGGGAGAGUGGAAUUCCAUGUGUAGCGGUGAAAUGCGUAGAUAUAUGGAGGAACACCGGUGGCGAAAGCGGCUCUCUGGCUUGUAACUGACGCUGAGGCUCGAAAGCGUGGGGAGCAAACAGG
rnacentral:rRNA from 1 species